rnacentral:snRNA from 1 species
AUACUUAACCUGGCGCGCGGGGAGUACCGGUGAUCAAAGAAGGCGGUGCCUCCUAGGACGAAGGCCUGUACAUUGCACUCCGUAAUGGGCUUGACUCCUGCGACUAACCCUGCCAAAGUCGGGGUGGCUCGAGCGCAUAAUGUUUUUGGUAGUGGGACAGCGCGUGUCGCGCUGUCGCC